rnacentral:rRNA from 1 species
GAGAAUGUUGGCAUUAGUAGCGAGAUGUGGGUGAGAAUCCCACAGGCCGAAUACCUAAGGUUUCCUCAGGAAGGUUCGUCCGCUGAGGGUUAGUCGGGACCUAAGCUGAGGCCGAAAGGCGUAAGCGAUGGACAAUCGGUUGAUAUUCCGAUACCACUAUUAUCGUUAUUAUCGAUGGUGUGACGGAGAAGGAUAGGAUGUGCUAGCUAUUGGAUGCUAGUCUAAGCGUUUAGGGAGUUAGGAUAGGCAAAUCCGUUCUAACAAUUCUGAGGCGUGAUGGGGAAGGUUCUAAGGAACCGAAGUAUCUGAUUCCAUGCUUCCAAGAAAAGCAUCUAGAAAGAGAAAUAGUGCCCGUACCGCAAACCGACACAGGUAGGUGAGGAGAGAAUCCUAAGGCCGGCGGAAGAAUUGCAGUUAAGGAACUAGGCAAAUUGACCCCGUAACUUCGGGAGAAGGGGUGCCUGCGAGAGCAGGCCGCAGAGAAUAGGCACAAGCAACUGUUUAACAAAAACACAGGUCUCUGCUAAAGCGAAAGCUGAUGUAUAGGGGCUGACGCCUGCCCGGUGCUGGAAGGUUAAGGGGAACACUUAGCGUAAGCGAAGGUGUGAACUUAAGCCCCAGUAAACGGCGGCCGUAACUAUAACGGUCCUAAGGUAGCGAAAUUCCUUGUCAGGUAAGUUCUGACCCGCACGAAUGGCGUAAUGACUUGUGCACUGUCUCAACUGCAAAUCCGGCGAAGUUGUAGUGCGAGUGAAGAUGCUCGCUACCCGCGAUUGGACGGAAAGACCCCGUAGAGCUUUACUGUAGCUUAGCAUUGAAUUUCGGUAUUGUCUGUACAGGAUAGGUGGGAGACUGGGAAAUCAGAGCGUCAGCUUUGAUGGAGUCAUCCUUGGGAUACCACCCUGAUAGUACUGGAAUUCUAACUGGAUGCCAUGAAUCUGGUGACAGGACAUUGUUAGGUGGGCAGUUUGACUGGGGCGGUCGCCUCCUAAAAAGUAACGGAGGCGCCCAAAGGUUCCCUCAGAACGGUCGGAAAUCGUUCGUAGAGUGCAAAGGCAUAAGGGAGCCUGACUGCGAGACCUACAAGUCGAGCAGGGACGAAAGUCGGGCUUAGUGAUCCGGUGGUACCUCGUGGGAGGGCCAUCGCUCAACGGAUAAAAGCUACCUCGGGGAUAACAGGCUGAUCUCCCCCAAGAGUUCACAUCGACGGGGAGGUUUGGCACCUCGAUGUCGGCUCGUCGCAUCCUGGGGCUGAAGUAGGUCCCAAGGGUUGGGCUGUUCGCCCAUUAAAGCGGCACGCGAGCUGGGUUCAGAACGUCGUGAGACAGUUCGGUCCCUAUCCGUCGCGGGCGCAGGAAAUUUGAGAAGAGCUGUCCUUAGUACGAGAGGACCGGGAUGGACCGACCUAUGGUGUACCAGUUGUUUCGCCAGAAGCAUAGCUGGGUAGCUAAGUCGGGACGGGAUAAACGCUGAAAGCAUCUAAGCGUGAAGCCUCCUUCAAGAUGAGAUUUCCCAUAGCGUAAGCUAGUAAGACCCCUUGAAGACUACAAGGUUGAUAGGUCAGAGGUGUAAGU